rnacentral:rRNA from 1 species
GAGCACGUAGGUGGGUUUGUAAGUCAGAUGUGAAAGCCUUCUGUUCAACGGAAGAAUUGCAUCUGAAACUGCGAGUCUUGAGUGUAGGAGGGGAGAAUGGAACUUCUGGUGGAGCGGUGAAAUGCGUAGAUAUCAGAAGGAACGCCGGCGGCGAAAGCGACUCUCUGGCCUAUUACUGACACUCAGUGUGCGAAAGCUAGGGGAGCAAACGGGAUUAGAUACCCCGGUAGUCCUAGCCGUAAACGAUGGGCACUAAGUAGAGGGGUUUU